rnacentral:lncRNA from 1 species
GCAGGAAAGAGGAAGAUUAUAUGUAAAUGGUAUUAGGGCUAUUUGAAAACUCAUCAGUUUAGCUUCUUACCUCAGAUCAUAAAUCAAAAUAAAUUUCACCAAUUAAAAAAUUACUAUAAAAAUUCAAGCCAUAAAACAGAAUAAACAAUUUUGUUGUGAACCUAAAACCUCUCUAAAAAAUUGAGUCUAAGUAAAAAAAAAAAAGGAAGAGAAAUUUGAGUGUACAUUGAACAUUGAAUCACUGAAGAGGUAAGGGGUCUCCAAGUUUAAAAAGCAAUGGAAGAAAUAAGAAAGCAAAAGAUGUUUAGAAUCAACAACAUAGAAAUUUAACCUCUGUAUCUCAGAAAUAAGCAUGUAUCUACAAAUCAAAUACAAAGGCAAAUAUAUUAGGAAUAUGUUUCAAUAAAUAUCUAAAAGAUUCAUCUCUUUAAUGUAUAAAAGGUUCAUACAAACUGAUAAGAAAAAUACUAAGAUGCCAAUGGUUAAAUGGAUAAAAUCCAUGAAUAAACAAGAGAGGGAAAUACAAAUGGUCAGCUAAUGAGAAAACUCAGGAGUAAUUAAAGAGGUCAAAAUGAAAAUAAGGAGCGGUCACUGCUUGCCCUUCAAACUGUCACAGAUGUGUACGUUCAUCUCCUAGCUGGGCUGUCUCCCUACACCCUGACUCACCCUCUCCAGUCCAUUCAGCACGGCAGAGUUCUAAGACACAUCACAUCAUAUCACUCCCCUGCCUUAACAUUCCUUUAAAGGCUGCGUGAUGGUCAAUAGGAUGGAGCCUUAGCACUAGUGCCAGCCUUUGGUUUGACCCCUCUCCGGCCUCAUCUCCCAUCACUUCUACACACAUUUUAGUUCUAGUCAUAUGGAACUUGUGUGGUUGUUACCAGAACUAUUUCAUAUUUCACAUCUUGGUGCCUUUACCUGUGCUGUCAUCAGUGCUGGAAGACCAACCUUCACCCUCAUCCUAUGCCAUCAGGAAGCCUUCCCUGACGCUGCUGGUCUCCUCUGGAUGUCCUUCUUCCUGUUCUAGUGGCACCCAUCAUUCCAGUGUCACAGCAUCAAGCACAUGAUAUCAUGGUCACCCAUGUCCUUGUCUUUCUCCUUCACUGGGGUAGGGGACUAUGUCUUACUCAUCUGUAGAGUCUAGGCACUGUACCCAGAGUCAAGUGUGUAUGAAUGUAAUGUAUGUCUAUGUAUGCAUGGAUGGAUGAAUGAAUGGACUAUGUAUAAGCAGGGCCACGGGGAAACUGAAGUGAGAUACAACUGAGAAUGGGCCAGGUGAGGGUGGCCACCUUACCUCCCGAAGGGCAUUCUGGGCUGCAGAGUACCAAGCCCGACUCACGAGGGAGGCCUCUUUCUGAUCUGACAGAGGCAGGAAGAUCAGAAUAUAUGUGAGCAUCUGAGGGGAAAAGACAGAGGGCAUUGGGAACUGUUAGAGCUGAGGGCCUUUGGAACCCUCUCCAGCUCAUAGUACCAUCACUCUAAGGGGACUGAGACACUGGCUUCUAUCUAGUUCAUCUUGAAUCCUAAGCUUCGUGGGGUCUUCACUUGGCUCUCCAGCCUCUGAGCAUCUUUACUGUGAACAAACCAUUCCCGAGCCCUGCCUGGAUGCAGGUUUGUACAGACUGAUAAAAAGCAAACUUCCCACUCAGUUUGGUAAAAAGAGCCUGAGCAUUAAGACCAGGUAAACCUAGUUCAAAUCCUUACUCUAUCAUCAACUGACCUCUCUGAGCCUUUCUUUUUCUAAUCUGUAAAAUGGCAAUCAUAGCAAGAUUUAAAUGGGUUGUGGUGAGAAUUUAAGAACAGUAAAGUGUUUUGCACAAGACCUAGGACACAGUAGGUCAGGUGUCCUUCUCUGAACUUUGGAAAUCACACCCCUUCCUCCUGCCCUCACAGAUCAGGCUCUGGGUCCUCCCUCUUUUCCCAUCUUCUCCACUGCCUUCUCAGCUGGCUGUUAAGAUAUGAUCCCAGCAGGGCCCAGCCCAGGUGCUCAGGCCCUCCCUCCACCUAUGGCCUAUGAGGUUGGGGAUCAUGAGGUUGGGGGCCCUAUCAGGGAUUGGGGAGGGAGUCACUGGUGAGGCAAAGAAUGACUUAAUAUUAACUAUUAUUUUCUUCUGAAAUCGUCCCUCAUGGGCUCUUAAGAAACUCUGUUUUCUAGAGCUCCACCCUUCACUCUAAUUGCCCUAUUUCUGGAUUCUUCUGUGGCUUCCAGGGCUCAGACCUGGGUCUUUCAAUCUUUUACUUCCUGGGAUAAUAAAUUCAUUUGCAUGGCUUCAACGGUUACCUCUACACAUAAAACCAACAAUUCAAUAUCCCCAUAUCGUCUCAUCAUUCAUGUGAUAGUCUGGUGUUGCCAAUUGUCCACAGGGUCCAUCAUCUAAAUGUUUUACCAUCACCUUCAUCUCAACUAAAAUUCAUAUUCUUAGUCCAAAGCAUCCCUUCCUCCCAAUUUUCCAGCAUCUGAGCUUCAAUGCCAAUAGUGCAUCUUGCCUGAAGAUCCUGAUAAUACUAACUCUUUAUGCUCUUCUGUCCUUUUCUGUCAGAUACACAUGUACAACACAGGCUUAGGCCAGGAUAACACAGACUCAUUCAAAUCCCAGCUCUACUACUUCCAAGCUGUGUGACCUGUGUGACCUGUGUGACCUGAUGCAAGGUAACUGACUUAUCUGAGCUUCAGUUUCCAUACCGUGUGUGUGUGUGUGUGUGUGUGUGUGUUUUAAUAGAGAUGAUGUGCUUGACAUCUAGAUGUUCCAUAAAUGAUUGCUGGAUUGCUGUUACAAAUAUUUCUACCUUUGAAAUUUUAGCACCUCAAUAGCCCAGAACUUUAUCACCCCAGACCUGGAUUCCUUCUGCAGUCUCCCACCUGACCUCCCUGCCUCCAGGCUCAGCCUGGCUAGUCAUUCUGCACACUGUGACAAGGUUAAUUUUCCUAAAAAACAGCUUUCAAUCUUAGCACGUCCCUGAUGAAAACCCUCAGGGUACUCCAGUGCCCUCAGGACAAAAUCUCCACUCUUGGGUCAGCACUGGCUAGGCCCUACACCUGACUGGACCCCUGAACCCGGAGCUUCCCCAGUUCAUUAUUCCCACUGUCCUACAACCAUACCAUGCUUGUUACAUUUUGCCUGUGUGGGCCUCUUUCCGGGAAUGCCCUUCCUUGACCUUGACCUCACCAGCCCCCUUUCUUUGAUCCCUAGCGCACAGAAGGUACUCAGCCAAUACUUACUGGAUUGAAUUAAAGAUGGACAGUCCUCCAUCCCUAUUUUCACCAA